GAGAACUCAAUGAGAUGAUGUGUAUAGACUUGGCCUAAUCCUCCUGUCCGAGGUCACGGAAGGAAUGUCGCAUCCUGCCACCUCAUCUCUCACAGCCUCAGAGACACUCAAGUCAGACUCAGAAGUCAAAGCCACCGUCUCUACUGUGGUCUUCAGAAAGAGGAACAGACUGAGGUACUGAAACCUGAAACAGCCAGUCCUCACCCUCGCCUGAAAGAACCAGGACUUCACUUUCACACGGUGCUCCAUGGUCGGCAGGCAGGACUCUUCUGCCCACCGCGUGUUGCCAGGCAAUCGGGCAGUUGGAGAGCGCUGGGAUUACAGAUGGGGGCCACCACAAACCACCCUUGCAUGCUUCAAGCCACGGACAGGUGAAGAUGGUCCUGGGUGUUCUAGCCUGCCAGGCAGGAGGCUCCUCAGCCCACGUUGUCCUGGGGCAGACCUAGAUAAGCUCGUCUGUGGCAUGGAAUCAGAAGAAAACAACACCAACCCUGGGCUCCUAGCCCAUCAAGGCGUUCUUGCUUGCUGGGUGGGGUACUGCUAGACCCCCUGGAUUGCACGAUCUCUUGAGACUGGAGUUAUAGAUGGUUGUGAGCCUUCAUGUGCGUUCCAGGAACUGAACCCAGCUCUUCUGCAAGAACAGCAAGUGUACUUAACCACUGAACAUCUCUCCAGAACCCAGGGACCCCAAUAUUCUACCAUUCCUCCCUCUUCAUGACAUAGUUCCGCAUGACUCGGAUGAGAGGGGGUGUGUGUAGAGUCUUGGGAGUUUGGGAUGCUGUGGACCAGGCUAACCUUGACAUUUCUUGUAGUCCAGGUAUCAUGGGAUUCUGAGAGUCAUUAGGUCACAUACAUAAUUUAAAAAAAUAAAAAAGUUCGACAACCUGAGUUCAGUUCCCAGAAUCCACGGUGGGAGGUGAGAAUGAAGUCUUGCAAGCUGAAGACAUCUGCAUGUGUCAUGGCACAUAUAUACUUGUGAUGUGGGAAGGUCAUUGG